AUGCAGCAACCACGCGGUGGCUGCUGGGCCGCUCGCCGCCUCCUGGCCGCGCCGGCGCCCCCGCCGGAUCCCGCCCAUCCGAUGGACGCGCAGCCGAUGGCGCGCCUGGAGACGGUGUUCAGCGGCACCACCAUCGUGCUCUUCGUCGCCACCGUCUCCUACGUCGUCUUCAGCGCGGUCUACGCCUGCAUCCGCGCCACCCGCUACGACGCCCGCCAACAAGGACACGGCUGGGUCGAUGGCGACGGCCUGGGAGCGGCGGCGCCGCGGGAGGAGACCAAGCGCGCGCUCGAGACGAUCCCCGUGCGGGUGGUCGUCCUGCAGCAGCAGCAGCAGCAGCCCGGCGAUGUCAUCGGAGGCCGGAAGAAGGAGGAGGACGCCGACGCGGACGCCGGCGACUGCGCGGUGUGCCUGGCGGAGUACGCGGCCGGGGACGAGGUGCGGGUGCUCCCGGCGUGCCGCCACGGGUUCCACCGGGAGUGCGUCGACCGCUGGCUGCUCACGCGCGCGCCCACCUGCCCUGUCUGCCGCGCCACGGUCGGUGCUCACGUCGAGGGCGCCGACGCCAAGGAGGACUACGCGGCCGGACACGGCGGUGUCAUUGGUCUCGCCGCCGGGUCCCAUGCGCUUCCGGAGCCGGUGUGA
rnacentral:rRNA from 1 species